UACGUCUUCUAUCUUUCUCCACUUCCUCUUCUUCUUCUAUACAACCUCAUAAAAAAAAUUCUUUUACACCUUUCCACACACAUUUUAUAAAAAAUGCUGUCUUUUAAAAUGCAACAUUUCUUCUAUUCGUUUUUUUAACAUUAUUUUGUUUGCAUUUUACUAAUAAUUUUGGUGCUAAUUUUUGCAGAUCUUGACUAUAAUGAGAUGAAACAAAAAACUUUCAGAUCUGAAAUGAGACCGUGUAAAAUUGAAACGGCUUCCAACGGAUCUGAAAUCGAAACCACGGGUCGGGAACAUCGGAUCUGAAAUUGAAAUCACUGGAUCUGAUAUCAAAACCACCAGAUUUGAAAUCAACUCUCAUCUUCUUCAUACUUACAAGGAUUGUGAAAUGGAACAAUGGAAGAAGGGUAUCAAAAUUCAAGAGGUAUGGAAAAUAAUAAUCUUACUUUAAGUCUUUCUGCCACAAUAACUGUACAACUCUAUCCAACUUUAUCACUAUUCAAAAAGUGUGUGACAAGACAACACACAUUUUAGUAUAUU